rnacentral:rRNA from 1 species
UGUCGUCAGCUCGUGUCGUGAGAUGUUGGGUUAAGUCCCGCAACGAGCGCAACCCUUAUUAUUAGUUGCCAGCAUUAAGUUGGGCACUCUAAUGAGACUGCCGGUGACAAACCGGAGGAAGGUGGGGAUGACGUCAAGUCAUCAUGCCCCUUAUGACCUGGGCUACACACGUGCUACAAUGGGCAGUACAACGAGGAGCGAACUUGUGAAGGCAAGCGAAUCUCUGAAAGCUGUUCUCAGUUUGGACUGUAGGCUGCAACUCGCCUACACGAAGCUGGAAUCGCUAGUAAUCGCGGAUCAGCACGCCGCGGUGAAUACGUUCCCGGGA